rnacentral:rRNA from 1 species
UACGGGGGGGGCAAGCGUUGUUCGGAAUUACUGGGCGUAAAGGGCUCGUAGGCGGCCAACUAAGUCAGACGUGAAAUCCCUCGGCUUAACCGGGGAACUGCGUCUGAUACUGGAUGGCUUGAGAUUGGGAGAGGGAGUGCGGAAUUCCAGGUGUAGCGGUGAAAUGCGUAGAUAUCUGGAGGAACACCGGUGGCGAAGGCGGCAUCCUGGACCAACACUGACGCUGAGGAGCGAAAGCCAGGGGAGCAAACGGGG